GUAGAGUCACCGUGUUAGCCAGUGAUCUCCUGACCUCGUGAUCCGCCCGCAUCGGCCUCCCAAAGUGCUGGGAUUACAGACAUGAGCCACAGCGCCCGGCCCCUGUUUUCAGCUCUUAAACCAGCUUCCUCUGCAAUUCCCAGGAAUCUCAUCCAGAAAUGACAGUGUCCAGAGGAAAAGGAGACUUCUUUGAUGUUUCUCAUAGGAUCAAGAGACAAGGUCUUCCUUUGGCCAGGCUGGAGUGAGUGCAGUGACAUGAU